rnacentral:misc_RNA from 1 species
AACGCACAUUGCGCCCAUUAGUAUUCUAGUGGGCAUGCCUGUUCGAGCGUCAUUUCAACCCUUAAGCCCUAGCUGCUUAGCGUUGGGGAGUUACGCCCUGUAAUCCCCUAAAGUUAGUGGCGGAGUCGGACCGGACUCUAAGCGUAGUAAUUUUUCUCGCUUCUGAGGCUGGCCCGGCCCCUGCCGUAAAACCCCCUAUUACCAGUGGUUGACCUCGGAUCAGGUAGGAAUACCCGCUGAACUUAA